rnacentral:rRNA from 1 species
CGGCCGCGUCGACCGUGAAGUCUGUAACCGCAAGGGAACGGCCGUAGGGUAAAACUGGUGACUGGGGCUAAGUCGUAACAAGGUAGCCGUACCGGAAGGUGCGGCUGGAACACCUCCUUUCUGGAGCGAGAGUUUCCGUGAAGAUUAAUCAAGUGGUAUUGAAUCUCCACUUGUACUACGGUUGGAUAUAUGAAAAAAAAACGAUAAAAAAACGAGAAAGAUGAAGCUGGAAACCGGCGAAAGUUGUACAGUCCUAUAGCUCAGUUGGUUAGAGCGCUACACUGAUAAUGUAGAGGUCGGCAGUUCAACUCUGCCUGGACUACUCCGGAAAGAAACGAUGAAAACUUCUUCCUUUAUUUGCGAAACGAAAAAGUUUCAAUACCUUGCAGCCGCAAAUAGAAAACGGGAUUAGCUCAGCUGGCUAGAGCAUCUCGCUUGCACGCAGAGGUCAACGUUCGAAUCCGUAUCUCACAGAGCUUAGAAAAGUGUAAGAUCUUGAACAUGUAGACGAAUAAGAGAAGUUUAAUAGAAAGUAGAAGCAAAGUCUUAAAGAUAAUAUCGAAAUUCCGG